rnacentral:rRNA from 1 species
CAUGCAAGUCGAGCGGUAACAGACAUAAAGAUUCAGCUUGCUGAAUCCGGUGCUGACGAGCGGCGAACGGGUGAGUAACGCGUAGGAAUCUACCCAGUAGCGGGGGAUAGCCCGGGGAAACCCGGAUUAAUACCGCAUACGCCCUAAGGGGGAAAGGGGGCAGCUUGCUGCUCUCACUAUUGGAUGAGCCUGCGUAAGAUUAGCUUGUUGGUAGGGUAAUGGCCUACCAAGGCAACGAUCUUUAGCUGGUCUGAGAGGACGAUCAGCCACAUUGGGACUGAGACACGGCCCAGACAUCUACGGAUGGCAGCAGUUAAGAAUAUUGGACAAUGGGGGCAACCCUGAUCCAGGUAUACCGCGUGUGUGAAGAAGGCCCUAGGGUUGUAAAGCACUUUAAUCAGAGAAGAAGCAUUUUAAGUUAAUACCUUAAUAUGUUGACGUUACCUGAAGAAUAAGGACCGGCUAACUCCGUGCCAGCAGCCGCGGUAAUACGGAGGGUCCAAGCGUUAAUCGGAAUUACUGGGCGUAAAGCGCGCGUAGGCGGUUUAGCAAGUUGAAUGUGAAAGCCCUGGGCUCAACCUAGGAACUGCAUUCAAAACUACUAAGCUAGAGUACGAGAGAGGAGAGUAGAAUUUCUGGUGUAGCGGUGAAAUGCGUAGAUAUCAGAAGGAAUACCAAUGGCGAAGGCAGCUCUCUGGCUCGUCACUGACGCUAAGGUGCGAAAGCGUGGGUAGCAAACAGGAUUAGAUACCCUGGUAGUCCACGCCGUAAACGAUGAGAACUAGCCGUUGGGCAGAUUUAACUGUUCAGUGGCACAGCUAACGCAUUAAGUUCUCCGCCUGGGGAG